GAUUUAUUGGGUUAAAGGGAGCGUAGGCCGGAGAUUAAGCGUGUUGUGAAAUGUAGAUGCUCAACAUCUGCACUGCAGCGCGAACUGGUUUCCUUGAGUACGCACAAAGUGGGCGGAAUUCGUGGUGUAGCGGUGAAAUGCUUAGAUAUCACGAAGAACUCCGAUUGCGAAGGCAGCUCACUGGAGCGCAACUGACGCUGAAGCUCGAAAGUGCGGGUAUCGAACAGGAUUAGAUACCCUGGUAGUCCGCACGGUAAACGAUGGAUGCCCGCUGUUGGUCUGAAUAGGUCAGCGGCCAAGCGAAAGCAUUAAGCAUCCCACCUGGGGAGUACGCCGGCAACGGUGAAACUCAAAGGAAUUGACGGGGGCCCGCACAAGCGGAGGAACAUGUGGUUUAAUUCGAUGAUACGCGAGGAACCUUACCCGGGCUUGAAUUGCAGAGGAAGGAUUUGGAGACAAUGACGCCCUUCGGGGUCUCUGUGAAGGUGCUGCAUGGUUGUCGUCAGCUCGUGCCGUGAGGUGUCGGCUUAAGUGCCAUAACGAGCGCAACCCCUCUCCUUAGUUGCCAUCAGGUCAGGCUGGGCACUCUGGGGACACUGCCACCGUAAGGUGUGAGGAAGGUGGGGAUGACGUCAAAUCAGCACGGCCCUUACGUCCGGGGCUACACACGUGUUACAAUGGCAGGUACAGAGAGAUGGUGUUCUGCAAAGCGCAUCUAAUCCUUAAAGCCUGUCUCAGUUCGGACUGGGGUCUGCAACCCGACCCCACGAAGCUGGAUUCGCUA
rnacentral:rRNA from 1 species